rnacentral:other from 1 species
AACAACCUGCGGUGUACGGAAAUCUUUUAAUUCAACCGACAUAAUGUAAAAGGGAAUUCAAGUUUGACUGCCUAUGACAAGCCCGCUUUGACGGGACGCCAGAAUCAGCCAACAGAACACCCACCUGCCUAGGUGCGGGUGUGAAUUAUGGAUUUGCGGCAUUGCGGGUUAUUU